UACGUAGGUGGCAAGCGUUGUCCGGAAUUAUUGGGCGUAAAGCGCUCGCAGGCGGUCCUUUAAGUCUGAUGUGAAAGCCCACGGCUCAACCGUGGAGGGUCAUUGGAAACUGGGGGACUUGAGUACAGAAGAGAAGAGUGGAAUUCCACGUGUAGCGGUGAAAUGCGUAGAGAUGUGGAGGAACACCAGUGGCGAAGGCGGCCUGCUGGGCAGUGGCUGACACUGAGGCGCGAAAGCGUGGGGAGCAAACAGG
rnacentral:rRNA from 1 species